UACGUAGGGGGCAAGCGUUGUCCGGAUUUAUUGGGCGUAAAGAGCGUGUAGGCGGCUAGGUAGGUCCGUUGUGAAAACUCGAGGCUCAACCUCGAGACGCCGGUGGAAACCAUCUAGCUAGAGUCCGGAAGAGGAGAGUGGAAUUCCUGGUGUAGCGGUGAAAUGCGCAGAUAUCAGGAGGAAUACCCAUAGCGAAGGCAGCUCGCUGGGACGGUACUGACGCUGAGGCGCGAAAGCGUGGGGAGCGAACAGG
rnacentral:rRNA from 1 species